AACAACACUAUCAACAAGGCAGGUCCUACAGGCCCUAGUUUCUACCUUCUUAACAACACUAUCAACAAGGCAGGUCCUACAGGCCCUAGUUUCUACCUUCUUAACAACACUAUCAACAAGGCAGGUCCUACAGGCCCUAGUUUCUACCUUCUUAACAACACUAUCAACAAGGCAGGUCCUACAGGUCCUAGUUUCUACCUUCUUAACAACACUAUCAACAAGGCAGGUCCUACAGGCCCUAGUUUCUACCUUCUUAACAACACUAUCAACAAGGCAGGUCCUACAGGCCCUAGUUUCUACCUUCUUAACAACACUAUCAACAAGGCAGGUCCUACAGGCCCUAGUUUCUACCUUCUUAACAACACUAUCAACAAGGCAGGUCCUACAGGCCCUAGUUUCUACCUUCUUAACAACACUAUCAACAAGGCAGGUCCUACAGGUCCUAGUUUCUACCUUCUUAACAACACUAUCAACAAGGCAGGUCCUACAGGCCCUAGUUUCUACCUUCUUAACAACACUAUCAACAAGGCAGGUCCUACAGGUCCUAGUUUCUACCUUCUUAACAGCACUAUCAACAAGGCAGGUCCUACAGGCCCUAGUUUCUACCUUCUUAACAACACUAUCAACAAGGCAGGUCCUACAGGUCCUAGUUUUGUCGCACCUGGACUACUGUUCAGUCGUGUGGUCAGGUUCCACAAAGAGGGAUUUAGGAGAAUUACAGUUGGCUCAGAACAGGGUAGCACGGC